UACGAAGGGUGCAAGCGUUACUCGGAAUUACUGGGCGUAAAGCGUGCGUAGGCGGUUUGUUAAGUCCGCUGUGAAAGCCCUGGGCUCAACCUGGGAAUUGCAGUGGAUACUGGCAAGCUAGAGUGCGGUAGAGGAUGGUGGAAUUCCCGGUGUAGCGGUGAAAUGCGCAGAUAUCAGGAGGAACACCGGUGGCGAAGGCGGGUCUCUGGGCCGAAACUGACGCUGAGGAGCGAAAGCGUGGGGAGCAAACAGG
rnacentral:rRNA from 1 species